GUGCCAGCAGCCGCGGUAAUACAGAGGGUGCAAGCGUUAAUCGGAAUUACUGGGCGUAAAGGGCGCGCAGGCGGCACGCUAAGUACACCGUGAAAUCUCCCUGCUCAACGGGGAGGGAGCGAUGUAGACUGGCGAGCUAGAGGACGGUAGAGGGGGGUAGAAUUGCUGGUGUAGCGGUGAAAUGCGUAGAGAUCAGCAGGAAUACCCGUGGCGAAGGCGGCCCCCUGGGCCGAACCUGACGCUGAGGCGCGAAGGCUAGGGGAGCGAACGGGAUUAGAUACCCCGGUAGUCCUAGCAGUAAACGAUGGCCACUAGGUGUGGGGGGUGUUGACCCCUUCCGUGCCGAAGCUAACGCAUUAAGUGGCCCGCCUGGGGAGUACGGUCGCAAGACUAAAACUCAAAGGAAUUGACGG
rnacentral:rRNA from 1 species